AACGUGUUUCUCCCCUUAGGGCUUUCUCAAGUGGAUAAAAGUUUUUUUUUUUUUUAUCCACUUGAGAAAGCCCUAAGGGGAGAAACGCGU